rnacentral:rRNA from 1 species
UGGGGAAUUUUGCGCAAUGGGCGAAAGCCUGACGCAGCGACGCCGCGUGUAUGAUGAAGGCCCUUGGGUCGUAAAGUACUGUCAACGGGGAAGAACGGUGCGGUCCGAAUAGGGCCGUGCCUUGACGGUACCCGUGGAGGAAGCACCGGCUAACUCUGUGCCAGCAGCCGCGGUAAUACAGAGGGUGCAAACGUUGCUCGGAAUGACUGGGCGUAAAGCGCGCGCAGGUGGCCUGGCAAGUCGACUGUGAAAGCCCAUGGCUCAACCAUGGAAGUGCAGUCGAUACUGUCGGGCUCGAGUCCCGGAGAGGGUGGUAGAAUUCCCAGUGUAGAGGUGAAAUUCGUAGAUAUUGGGAGGAAUACCGGUGGCGAAGGCGACCACCUGGACGGGUACUGACACUGAGGCGCGAAAGCGUGGGUAGCAAACAGGAUUAGAUACCCCCGUAGUCC